rnacentral:rRNA from 1 species
UGUAGUCUGCAACUCGACUACAUGAAGCUGGAAUCGCUAGUAAUCGCAGAUCAGAAUGCUGCGGUGAAUACGUUCCCGGGUCUUGUACACACCGCCCGUCACACCAUGGGAGUCGGAAAUGCCCGAAGCCGGUGACCCAACCAAAAGGAGGGAGCCGUCGAAGGCAGGUCUGAUAACUGGGGUGAAGUCGUAACAAGGUAAC